rnacentral:rRNA from 1 species
AGGCCUAACACAUGCAAGUCGAGCGGAAACGACUUAACUGAACCUUCGGGGAACGUUAAGGGCGUCGAGCGGCGGACGGGUGAGUAAUGCCUGGGAAAUUGCCCUGAUGUGGGGGGAUAACCAUUGGAAACGAUGGCUAAUACCGCAUAAUGCCUUCGGGGCCAAAGAGGGGGACCUUCGGGCCUCUCGCGUCAGGAUAUGCCCAGGUGGGAUUAGCUAGUUGGUGAGGUAAGGGCUCACCAAGGCGACGAUCCCUAGCUGGUCUGAGAGGAUGAUCAGCCACACUGGAACUGAGACACGGUCCAGACUCCUACGGGAGGCAGCAGUGGGGAAUAUUGCACAAUGGGCGCAAGCCUGAUGCAUUUUGCCAUGCCGCGUGUAUGAAGAAGGCCUUCGGGUUGUAAAGUACUUUCAGUCGUGAGGAAGGUAGUGUAGUUAAUAGCUGCAUUGCUUGACGUUAGCGACAGAAGAAGCACCGGCUAACUCCGUG